CCAGUUUGCUUAGAGUUGUUUCUGCAUCUUUUAAUCAGAUGUAGAAUUUUUUUAAAGCUCUUUGUAAUACCAGAAAUUCUUAUGCAUUACAUGGGACCAUGUGAUGCUGGCAUAUGAUAUUGGCAAGAUCUUUUUUUUAACCUAUUUUAAAUUUUAUUUUCAAAAAUCUUGUGACUUUAAUAAAAUAGAUUCUAAAAUUUUGAAAUAGAGUAUUCAUGUAAGUUUUAUAUUUUUUGUAUCACUUCGGACCUUUGCACCACUUCACCUCACCAGAGGACUUACACAGUAGCCAGUAGGACUGAUGGAACUGUGGUUGGCUAGGACUCUUUGGCUAAUGUAAGAAAGGAAAUGGACUGGAAAGUGGACAAUCGCUGCUCUAAAAUAUUGAAUACUUGUGUGUAAUCUAAAUUUUUGAUAGAGGAAGCUUCUGCAGUUUCAGCUUCCCCACCUGUAGCUGUGCUAUAUUUGCCAAAACGAAGAAGCCAAUAUUGACGUGUUCCUGUUACUCCAGUUUUUCUGUUCCUGUCUUUCUCUUCUAGAAUUCAGUCCAGGACACAGCAUUCAGUCCUUACUCCUUCAUCUUCUCUGCUCCUAGACAGUUUCUCAGUCUUGCCCUUGAUUUUCAUCACCUGAACAGUUUGAGGCAAAUGAGAUGGGUGGGAUGUAGAGUAUUCCUCAGUUUGGGUCUGUUUGAUGUUUUUCUUCUGGCUUCCCUGGGGUGGCAGGUUUCGGGGAAAGACCACCACAGAGGUACCAUGGCUUUCUUGUGACAUCAUCUUGGGUGUACAUUGUUACCACGUGAUGUCAUUUAGUGCUACUACCCUUCACUUGGUUCAGGUGGUGCCUGCCAGGUUUCUCUGGGAAGUUAACUAGUUUCUCCUUUACAUGAGAAAUCUAUGGGAAGUAAGUCCAGCCCUUACUUAAACGGUAUGGAGGCUAAGUUCCACUUUUUGUGGGGGAUAGUAUAUUUGUUUUCCCAGAGAGAAUAUGUUCUCCCCAUUUGUUCAAUCGUUUAUUUGUAUUCAUAGGGACUCCUUAGCCAGUACUAUAUUAUUUGUUACCCAAAUUAUUCCAACUUUGGCUUAUGGGGAGUUCUUUCAGAUUGACCCCUAUAUCCCUUUGAUAACCCUUAGCCUUCUGUUUUUUGUUCUGUUUUGAGAAUUGCCUUUUAAUAUUAGGCAGCAUGCCAGGUUCAUCCUUGAAUUCCUUGCUCUACCCCUAGAAUGAGCCAUUUCUCCAAGGACCCCUGAUUCCCCUCACUAGAGAAUAAUUUUUAAAGCCUAAAUUUGGGCAGUGGACAUGAGUUGUGUUGCAGGUGUUUUGUUUUGUUUUGUUUUUAGGUACGUAACGUUGAACUCUUUUUCUACCAUUGGCUGAUACUUGAAGAUCAUUGGAAGACUGUCUUCAGCCCACAUCUCUUGGCGAUGAGCUCCUUUAAGUCACCAGCAUAUUUACUGACAAUAAUAUACGUGAAGUUGUUUCAUAAGAUGUAAAGCAAAACAAUUUAUCACACAAAGAAAUGGAACAAAAGUCCCUAAUCUUUAGAGAAAUUCUACAACGCAUUUCCAGCCCGAUCGCCUCCACUGCCAUAGGGACUCUCGGUGGCCCGUCAGGUGAACCGUGCUCCUGGGCAUGGCUGCCAUGCUGUCUGCUCAGUCUGGCCCCGUGUGCUUGCAGCCCCUCCCAUGCCUUCCUUCACCGUGUGCUCCUGCGUGGGUGAACUGUGUACUUGCCUUCGCCGAAUGACUCUCACUACCUCUUUCAGGGCCUCCGUGCAGGCUUUCUCCCGCUUAUCUGAGGCGCAGCUUUCUCUGCCUCCAUAUCCUUAAGCGCUGCCUCUGAUGCUGCCAGUCUAGUGGGAUCGCUCCUCCUGAGACUCACACCUCUUAAAGUAAUCUUUUGUCUUUUCAGCGUUAUGUGUACGUACUGUUCUUCAGAAUCCUGAGUAACAGAAAUGGUCUUUUCUUUUUUUGCCUACUUAAAUUUUGUGAGUGAGCGAACAACUGUUAUCUUUAGAUGUAACAUUCCUUAAAUUGCAACAAAUUGUGAUUUGUCCAUUCUCCAUGCUUUUGUGGAUUACUUUUUUAUGAACUUUAGAAAAUUUAUUUUGGACUACUAAAGUGGUAAGAGAAAUGCUCAUGUAGGCAGAGCUAUAUACGUAUAGAGUAUAAUUUACAUAAUAUUUAUUUUUGAACAUAAAAUAUAUAUAUAUAAGCUUGAAGUCAGAGGUGAGCUUGAUAGUCUUAAUUUUAGCAAGGCAGUAUAAUUUAUGUUCACCUUAGCAAGAUUUUGUACAAGUAUAGUACAUUUGAGUGGACUUAAAUAUAUUUUAAAUUUUUAUACUGUGAUGUUUAAUACAUUAGGCCCACUUUUUAAGUUCACAUGACUGUCCUAUCCUCUUUUAAGUGUGUGUAUGUGUGCAUGUGGGUCACCACUUUAGGGAUACCCAAACAUGAAAUGAAAAUUAAUAAAGAAUUACAGUUUAGAAAGAUUUAAAGCUGAAACAAAUUUUUUUUGUGAAAUAAAACCAAUAAAAGUUUAAGUACAAUAAGUGCAAAACCAUUUAAGAUUUAUGAAAAUUGCAUUGCAUGAGUCCAAAAUACAGACAGCAAUCUGUCUUGGUAUUUUUUCAUGUAAAAGGCAGUGUGCUAGCUUAUUACAAGCUCUGAGCCAAACAUGACUUGGCUGCUUUCGAAGGUAGGAAUGUGACUUUAGGGAGCGUACAUCUCAACCACACAGAAAGUCGUCCGUAUCCGUUGUCAGCCAGCCAUGUUGUAUAAUUGAUGUUUAAUUCUGGUUGUCUUUAUUCAUGUUAUUUUAAAGCAGAACAUUGCUGGCAGGACUUCACACAAUGGCAGGAGAGGUCUAGAAUGGUGCGUUUCACUGUGGCAGGUGCAGAUCUGAACACUGUAGGUGGGGACUGCCUCAUGUUUCUAUCAGUAUCAGAAUAGCUUGCUAUGGAAUAAAUACCCCUUCCUCAACUUCUCAGCACAGAAGUCACUUGGUCGUUUCUGGACAGUACCGUAGGAAGUCUCCUGGGUAGGUCUGGUUCCUCUUCACUUGGCAGUCCCCUGUCAUCAAGUGGCCCUAGUGCUGAAGCCUGAUCAAGAGUGUCCAGCCUGAAGCCUGCCCCCUCUUCAGGUUACAAUGAAAAUAUUUUUAAAUAAAGUUUUUUACUUACA